rnacentral:rRNA from 1 species
CACGUAGUUAGCCGGUGCUUAUUCUUACGGUACCGUCAUGGGCCUCUCGUAUUAGGAGAAGCUUUUUCGUUCCGUACAAAAGCAGUUUACAACCCGAAGGCCUUCAUCCUGCACGCGGCAUUGCUGGAUCAGGCUUUUGCCCAUUGUCCAAAAUUCCCCACUGCUGCCUCCCGUAGGAGUCUGGGCCGUGUCUCAGUCCCAGUGUGGCUGGUCGUCCUCUCAGACCAGCUACAGAUCGUCGGCUUGGUAAGCUUUUAUCCCACCAACUACCUAAUCUGCCAUCGGCCGCUCCAAUCGCGCGAGGCCCGAAGGUCCCCCGCUUUCACUCCUCAGAUCGUAUGCGGUAUUAGCUACUCUUUCGAGUAGUUACUCCCCCAGACUGGGCACGUUCCGAUGUAUUACUCACCCGUUCGCCACUCGUCAGCGUCCGAGACCUGUUACCGUUCGACUUGCAUGUGUAAGGCAUGCCGCAGCGUUCAAUCUGAGCCAGGACUACGAAACUCU